GUCUAUGGCCAUGCCACCCUGAACAAGUCCGAUCCUGCCUGAUCUCGGAAGCUAAGCAGGGUUGGGCCUGGUUAGUACGUAGAUGGGAGACCACCUAGGAAAACCAAGUGCUGUAGGCG
rnacentral:rRNA from 1 species